UACUUAGUAAGGAAGCAGAUCGCGUCGAGACAGGGCGGAUUUCGUGCUUCUCGCGAUCCCGACUCGCCAAGGACAGGUCUCGCACUCGAAUAAUCAUCGGGACUGCUGAAAAUGAGAAAAGCGGACGUGGGUCGACUGCAAACAUCGUACGAGGUCCUUUCGUCCCGAGGGAAGUCCCGUUACGGCUUCGCGCGGCAUGCCGACCAUCGAAUGGAUCGUUCGUCGUCAACGGGGAAGGGUAGAGAAGUAGUCGUCGCGGCGCUUUAAACAAAUACAAGCCGAUCACCGUCGCGGUAAAAGUGAGAACUAUGCGAGGUUGGCAGCUGCGGGGACGAUAAUCCCAGAGGACGAAGGUGCAACAAGACUCCGAGAUACUAAUCGACGUUCACACUCACAUAUAUGCAAUUCGAUCGUAGAAACAAAAGUUGACUAAUGCGAUGCCAACGUAAAUCAGAUUGAAUACUUGAAAAGCCGACGAAAUAUUUUAAUUACCCGGCCGGAAGUUGUAACUAGCAUAAUAAUAAACACUACAUAGGCGUUCGCGCCGCCUUGUGACGUAAUGUAAAAAAGAAUUCACAUCUUAGCAGAAAAUCACACAGAAAAGCAGAAGCCAGUCAGAAUUCACGCUGGUGAGGUCGGGUGGCAGUUUUUGCUUUUCUACCAGCGCGAGCACUGAUAGGCGUCCGGCUUUCUAUUUUCUGCCUUUCUGCCAAGCCGGCCUAAGACUCAAUCGCGAAAAAACACUUGACGCACGAGAGUAUCAAAACAAGGGGCGAAAAGGGCUACGUCAUCCGGCAUCGCUCGAGAUGAAAACAAUCAACACUGUCGGAACAUUCUGGACGGUUACGCGUAUCCCCGCGUUCUCCCCAGGUGUUUCCAUUACGCCUCGAGUCGGCGAGUGGUACACAUACAUACAUACGCGCGUCGGUAUGUCGUUGAUCAUUUUCGUCAGACGUCUAAAAUUUUCAUCAGCUUCCGAAAUACUUAUAUUUAAUCAGACUCUCUCGUCGCGUAAAGUUAAUUAACACGCGUUUCUUCAAUCGAAUCGCGAGUGUCAGUGUCAUGAAUGAGUGAUCGGAGUGCUACGUCGGAACAGCCGGGAGCCCGGAUAUUGCAUCGGGAAGACAGGACGAAGGACGCAGGCAGCGAUAUAUCACGUAUCUCAAGGAUAACCCAGAUGUUUACACCGCACAGUUCAUAAAGAAAUCUCUUCGAUGCUCUUUCGCUUACCUCUUCUGACGUGUGGUUGUUCCGUAGCCGCACCGUGCUUUCCGCGUGCGGUAUCCCUUGGACGUCACUUCUGCUACGUGAUCUCAGCAUCCACGUGGCGCUUUCCAGCAGUAUUCCUUAAAGUCUCGAGUGAAAAGUUAAAAGGAAGUAUCCUGACACAUUUCGAAUAAAGCCACGACGAAUCGACCAAUACCUGGUGAUAAAUGGUGGGAAAUG